UCCUCUGACCACAGUUUCUGCAGUACUAAAGUGCUUAUAGUGCAGGUAGUGUUUGUCCCCAUAUCUACUGCAAUGUAAGCACUUGAAGUAUUUCCAACUGUAUAUU
rnacentral:miRNA from 1 species